AAUCAACGCUGGCGGCGUGCCUAACACAUGCAAGUCGCACGAGAAAGGGUAGCAAUACCUGAGUAAAGUGGCGCANGGGUGAGUAACACGUGACUAAUCUACCCUCGAGUGGGGAAUAACUGAGAGAAAUCUUAGCUAAUACCGCAUAACACUUACGAGUCAAAGCAGCAAUGCGCUUGGGGAGGAGGUCGCGGCCGAUUAGCUAGUUGGCGGGGUAAUGGCCCACCAAGGCGAUGAUCGGUAUCCGGCCUGAGAGGGCGCACGGACACACUGGAACUGAAACACGGUCCAGACUCCUACGGGAGGCAGCAGUGGGGAAUUUUGCGCAAUGGGGGAAACCCUGACGCAGCAACGCCGCGUGGAGGAUGAAAUAUCUUGGUAUGUAAACUCCUUUCGAUGGGGAAGAUUAUGACGGUACCCAUAGAAGAAGCCCCGGCUAACUUCGUGCCAGCAGCCGCGGUAAUACGAGGGGGGCAAGCGUUGUUCGGAUUUAUUGGGCGUAAAGGGUGCGUAGGCGGUUUGGCAAGUCUUAUGUGAAAUCUAUGGGCUCAACCCAUAGUCUGCAUAAGAAACUGCCGGGCUUGAGUAUGGGAGAGGUGAGUGGAAUUCCGGUGUAGCGGUGAAAUGCGUAGAUAUCGGAAGGAACACCUGUGGCGAAAGCGGCUCACUGGACCAUAACUGACGCUGAUGCACGAAAGCUAGGGGAGCAAACAGGAUUGGAUACCCUGGUAGUCCUAGCCCUAAACGAUGAUUGUUUGAUGUGGCAGGUACCCAAUCCUGCCGUGUCGAAGCUAACGCGAUAAACAAUCCGCCUGGGGAGUACGGUCGCAAGGCUG
rnacentral:rRNA from 1 species